GCGGAGGCUACACAUCGCAGUCUNGAGCGGAAACGACAACUCAUUCGANUUCCUUCGGAUGAUUUGAUUGGGCGUCGAGCGGCGGACGGGUGAGUAAUGCCUAGGAAAUUGCCUUGAUGUGGGGGAUAACCAUUGGAAACGAUGGCUAAUACCGCAUAAUGCCUACGGGCCAAAGAGGGGGAUCUUCGGACCUCUCGCGUCAAGAUAUGCCUAGGUGGGAUUAGCUAGUUGGUGAGGUAAUGGCUCACCAAGGCGACGAUCCCUAGCUGGUCUGAGAGGAUGAUCAGCCACACUGGAACUGAGACACGGUCCAGACUCCUACGGGAGGCAGCAGUGGGGAAUAUUGCACAAUGGGCGAAAGCCUGAUGCAGCCAUGCCGCGUGUAUGAAGAAGGCCUUCGGGUUGUAAAGUACUUUCAGUUGUGAGGAAGGGGGUANCGUUAAUAGCGUUAUCUCUUGACGUUAGCAACAGAAGAAGCACCGGCUAACUCCGUGCCAGCAGCCGCGGUAAUACGGAGGGUGCGAGCGUUAAUCGGAAUUACUGGGCGUAAAGCGCAUGCAGGUGGUUCAUUAAGUCAGAUGUGAAAGCCCGGGGGCUCAAACCUCGGAACUGCAUUUGAAACUGGUGAACUAAAG
rnacentral:rRNA from 1 species